rnacentral:rRNA from 1 species
UACGAAGGGGGCUAGCGUUGUUCGGAAUUACUGGGCGUAAAGGGCGCGCAGGCGGCCCUUCAAGUCAGGCGUGAAAGCCCCGGGCUUAACCUGGGAAUUGCGCUUGAUACUCUGAGACUGGAGUACGGGAGAGGAGAGUGGAAUUCCCAGUGUAGAGGUGAAAUUCGUAGAUAUUGGGAAGAACACCAGUGGCGAAGGCGGCUCUCUGGACCGUAACUGACGCUGAGGCGCGAAAGCGUGGGGAGCAAACAGG